CGGACCCUCCCGCGGCCGACUGGAGGCCCGGAGCAGGGGCGGAGUUUCCGGCGGCAGCGCCACUCGGGCGUCGGGUGACGCUAGGCGGACGGACCAUCAUGUGACACGGAAGUAGCUCCGAACAGGAAGAGGACGAAAAAAAUAACCGUCCGCGACGCCGAGACAAACCGGACCCGCAACCACCAUGAACAGCAAAGGUAAAAGAAGAUCAAGAUCACGACCGAGAGCAGGGUGAGGAAGACAACGGUGAUAACAACUUGGAAAGGAGAGGGAAAAUGUAGAGAUGUUUCAGGAUUGAGGAUGUCUCAGUAGUUCCUGGAGUCAUCUGAUUUAGUCACUGUUUUCGUAAAGAUCCUCUUGUUUUCAUUAACUAGUGUCCACUUCCAUCCAAACCCAUGUUCCCCCACCAACCCCAAUUUCCAUGGCACAUAAUAGCUGGAGUCUCCUGGUGCUUAAGCUAAGGACACAUGCUUUUGAUUUCUGACAAAACUGAACUGCCUCCCAAACCAGUUCCUGAUUCUUAAAGAAACGGGAAGGAGGGAACAGGAAAUGGCUUAUCCUAACAGGAAGUGGUUUAUCUGAUCCUCCCCCUCUUCCUCACCCACUCAACCAACCACAUAUAUCCUCGUCCCUACCCACGUACUCAAGUGUAACGUCCGUAUGCAUAUCUAUUUGCGGCCACCUCCCAACCUGUCAUUUACUGGUAGUGCCUCUGACAGAAGCCUCCGAGUCUUUUAUGGCUGUGUGUGUGUGUGUGUGUGUGUGUGUGUGUGUGUAAUAUAACUUACAAGCCAGAGUGAGCCCAUUAAUGGAUUUGGUCAGGCUCCCUCUGGAGAGAGAUGCCCUUGAUCCAG
rnacentral:lncRNA from 10 species